GGUGGGGGGAGGGGCGCUCACGCAACCGCCACUGUCUGGAGCGGGCUCGCCUCUGCGGCGGCACUCACCGCCCGGGCUUUACUGAAGCGGAGUCUAGCAUGUGCGGCUGCUCCACAGCGGUGUGGGUGGCGGCGGCUCCUCUGCAGCAGCCUCGGCAGUAGGGGUCACGGUGGCCAAGCCCACCGUGGAGCUCAUCUGAGAGUUGUAAGGUACGGGACUGCCUCGGUCUUUGGGACGCCCCGUCUGGUAGCAUCCCAGAUCCAGCACGUUCCUUCCGGCCCUGCACCCCGGCCCGGUGCCUCACACCCCGCUACCCCAUGCAUCCAGACUCUAAGGCAGCCCCUGCAUCUCAGUCCUGACAUCGCUGUCCCUGGAGCAUCCUCCGCUGGAGCUGGAGCUUGACAGAGCCUUACACAGGUUAUCUCUAGACCUGACAACAACCCAAGCAAGGCAAGGACUAUUCUCUCGGUCUGCAGACGCUGGCUCAGAUAGCUGGAGCAACUUCCCAAGGUCCCACAGCCAGUAAGGAAAGACCCAGACCUCCCAAGCUCCCUUCCUUUAUUGGCUGCCUGUGGACUACCAGCUCUGGAUGGACAAGGAAAAAGAGGAAAGCAUGAAAGAAACCCUGCGGAUAAGAAGGUUAGGCGAGCCAGAGGAUUCUCUUGGCAUCGUGUCUUUCCUGUGCUCUGAAGAUGCCAGCUACCUCACUGGGGAAACAGUGAUGGUGGGUGGAGGAACCCCGUCCCGCCUCUGAGGACCCGGAGACAGCCCACAGGCCAGAGUUGGGCUCUAGCUCCUGGUGCUGUUCCUGCAUUCACCCACUGGCCUUUCCCACCUCUGCUCACCUUACUGUUCACCUCAUCAAAUCAGUUCUGCCCUGUGAAAAGAUCCAGCCUUCCCUGCCGUCAAGGUGGUGUCUUACUCGGGAUUCCUGCUGUUGUUGUGGCCUUGGGUAAAGGCCUCCCCUGAGAACACAGGACAGGCCUGCUGACAAGGCUGAGUCUACCUUGGCAAAGACCAAGAUAUUUUUUGCCCAGGCCACUGGGGAAUUUGAGGGGAGAUGAGAGAGAAGGAAGCUGGAGUGGAAGGAGCAGAGUUGCAAAUUAACAACUUGCAAAUGAGGUGCAAAUAAAAUGCAGAUGAUUGCGCGGCUUUGAA
ensembl:lncRNA novel transcript